rnacentral:lncRNA from 1 species
AUGUGAAAUUGAAUAUGCAUUUUUACAUGGGUUGAGUAUUUUGACAUGGUUGAUUCUUAAAUUAUUUUUUCAUGAACUAAUAUACAUUGUCUAUGCUUGCUUUACGAUUUUGAACUUGAGGGGUGCAUGGGUUGGUGAAACCAAGGGAUUAAGGUUUUCCCCAAUUUUUUUGGUGAACUUUUAUAAUUGAAUUGCUAUAUCCUCAACCCAAUAUUAUGAAAUUGAUUUGAACAUAAGUAUAUGCACAUGAAAAUAUUUUUGGAACCAUUGUAAGGCUUAAAAGGUAUUUGAAACAUGAAUUAAUUUUAACUAAACUUUGGGAUUUAUGAAUUUCCUGUGAAUUAAUAAUUGAACCUAAAGGGAUUGGGGGGUGUGUGCGUGUGAAUUCCCUCGUGUGAUAGAUAAUUGAUACGACAUGAUAAUUUUAGCUUGCAAGUAAUGUUGGUAUGACUAUGCCAACGGUAUGCCUUAAUGAAUGAAUAGGUUCAAUUAAUGAAAAUGUGUGCUAAAUGUUUAAAUUGGGCUUACACGAGAGAUGUGUAGCUAGGAUGUGAAAGUGGAGGUCCCAAGGGACCAAUACAAAAAACCGUGAGUGCCGACGAGGGAGUCUAAA